UACUCGAGUGGCGAACGGGUGAGUAACACGUGGGUGAUCUGCCCUGCACUUCGGGAUAAGCUUGGGAAACUGGGUCUAAUACCGGAUAGGAACCAUCUUUAGUGUGGUGGUUGGAAAGUCUUUUCGGUGUAGGAUGAGCUCGCGGCCUAUCAGCUUGUUGGUGGGGUAAUGGCCUACCAAGGCGGCGACGGGUAGCCGGCCUGAGAGGGUGUACGGCCACAUUGGGACUGAGAUACGGCCCAG
rnacentral:rRNA from 1 species